AUUGGCUUUGGGGAGCCGGCGACGGCACCCUAUCGCUGAGAAGCUGAUCAAACUUGGUCAUUUAGAGGAAGUAAAAGUCGUAACAAGGUUUCCGUAGGUGAACAUGCGGAAGGAUCAUUAUCGAAAUUAUAGGUGAGGGUUGUAGCUGGCCUCUCGGGGCAUGUGCACGCCCGAGCCCUUAAUCCCACACACACCUGUGAACCUAUUGUAAGGGCCCGUAAAAAGGCCUUUAUGUCUUUAUCACCUACCCGAAGUCUCAUAGAAUGUAAAACAUAAUGUCCUCGCCUUAAAAAAGCGUUGAUAAAAUGUUAUACAACUUUCAACAACGGAUCUCUUGGCUCUCGCAUCGAUGAAGAACGCAGCGAAAUGCGAUAAGUAAUGUGAAUUGCAGAUUUUCAGUGAAUCAUCGAAUCUUUGAACGCACCUUGCGCUCCUUGGUAUUCCGAGGAGCAUGCCUGUUUGAGUGUCAUUAAAUUCUCAAACUCUGAUUGAUUUGUUUCAAUCAGAGCUUUGGAUUUGGAGCGUGCUGGCGUCAGUCGGCUCCUCUUGAAUGCAUCAGCGGAAUCCCCAUUCAUUUCGGACGUCAGUGUGAUAAUCAUGUUGCGCUGUCUCUUGCCGAUCUUGAAAGCCCGCUCACAAUGGUCUUCGGACAAACCUCACAUAUCAAAUUUGACCUCAAAUCAGGUAGGACUACCCGCUGAACUUAAGCAUAUCAAUAAGCGGAGGAAAAGAAACUAACAAGGAUUCCCCUAGUAACUCCGAGUGAAGCGGGAAAAGCUCAAAUUUAAAAUCUGGCGGUCUCGCGGCCGUCCGAGUUGUAAUCUGGAGAAGCGUCUAUCCGCGUCGGACCGUGUACAAGUCUUCUGGAAGGGAGCGUCGUAGAGGGUGAGAAUCCCGUCUUUGACACGGACAACCGAUCCUUUUGGAACCUCG
rnacentral:rRNA from 1 species